rnacentral:lncRNA from 1 species
UAUAUCAAUCAAUCGUAAAUAUAUCUUGUAUGACAAAUCUCUUUUGGAGAAAGUGAUAUAAUAAGAUGCUUUCCAUCAAUUAGGAGGCCAAUUGCCUCGAACUCUACAUGUAGCAUCUCACCUCGACCUUGUAGGGUCGGCCCCAAGGUUCCUCAAAUGAAGUGAUGUAUCACCUCAACCAAGUGAAAAUGGUGAUAUGAAUUGUGGGCUUGAUUGACUUGUUUCAAUUAGCAUAGACUAAGAGAUUAAUAUUAAAUUGUUUCUAUCAUUCUGGUACAUUGUAAUUAUUAGAAGUGAUGAAUUUCUGUUUAUAAUAUUUGUAAUGAUACUAAUAUUUAUGUUUUAAG